AUACGGAGGGUGCAAGCGUUAAUCGGAAUUACUGGGCGUAAAGCGCACGUAGGCGGCUUGUUAAGUCAGAUGUGAAAGCCCCGGGCUCAACCUGGGAACUGCAUUUGAUACUGGCAGGCUAGAGUAUGCUAGAGGCAAGUGGAAUUCCGGGUGUAGCGGUGAAAUGCGUAGAUAUCCGGAGGAACACCAGUGGCGAAGGCGGCUCUCUGGACCGAUACUGACGCUGAGGUGCGAAAGCGUGGGGAGCAAACAGGAUUAGAUACCCCUGUAGUCC
rnacentral:rRNA from 1 species